rnacentral:tRNA from 1 species
GCAGUGGUGGCUCCGUGGUAGAGUUCUCACCUGUCACGUGGGAGACCCGGGUUUGAUUCCCGGCCAGUGUA